rnacentral:pre_miRNA from 1 species
UUAAGUGCUGUGGAUUUCUUUGUGAAUCACCAUAUCUAAACUAGUGUGGUGGUGGUUUACAAAGUAAUUCAUAGUGCUUCA